AUACGGAAGGUCCGGGCGUUAUCCGGAUUUAUUGGGUUUAAAGGGAGCGCAGGCGGAGAUGCAAGCGUGACGUCAAAUUUCGGGGCUCAACCCCGUCUCGCGUCGCGAACUGCGUCCCUUGGUUGCGGGAAGGGGAGGCGGAACUCGUGGUGUAGCGGGGAAAUGCAUAGAUAUCACGAAGAACUCCGAUCGCGAAGGCAGCCUUCCGGCCCGUCAACGACGCUCAUGCUCGAAGGUGCGGGUAUCAAACAGGAUUAGAUACCCUGGUAGUCCGCACAGUAAACGAUGGACACCCGCGGUUUGGCCUAUAUGGCUGAGCCGCCAAGCGAAAGCGUUAAGUGUCCCACCUGGGGAGUACGCCGGCAACGGUGAAACUCAAAGGAAUUGACGGGG
rnacentral:rRNA from 1 species